UCAAAAGGAUUGAUGUGGAUGUCCUCGCGUUUUGGAAGGGGAAACAGUGCACUGAGCAGGAGUUAUACGCAAUUAGCAAUGUUUGCUUUGGCGUACCCCCAACUCAGGUCUCGAUUGAAAGAGCCUUCUCCGCCCUAAGACUGGUUCUAACGGAUUACAGAAGUCGGCUUAACCAAGAUGUCUUGGAAAAUAUACUCUUGGUAAAACUGAAUCCAAGCUUUUUGGACUCAGCUAUAGACACGCUGCCACUUUUCCAAGAAGUAGAGAACGACGACGCCAAUUAAUAGUUUUCUAUUCCCCCUACCCUCAUCGACACCACGAUGAGCCACGAAGACCCGCUGCCGUUCUUGACAACAACACCCGCUUACACUGGAGACGACUACUCUAAAUUGCAGAACUGCACUGGUGGCAGAACUACAAGACGACACUAGCAGCGACGUCAACGGCGACGAGAAGCGAAGCUUGCCGGCAACGAGGACUUGGAACUUAGAGUUUCGCUGACCUGCGAA